GUCCAGACUCCUACGGGAGGCAGCAGUGGGGAAUAUUGCACAAUGGGGGAAACCCUGAUGCAGCGACGCCGCGUGAGUGAAGAAGUACUUCGUUAUGUAAAGCUCUAUCAGCAGGGAAGAAAAUGACGGUACCUGAGUAAGAAGCCCCGGCUAACUACGUGCCAGCAGCCGCGGUAAUACGUAGGGGGCAAGCGUUAUCCGGAUUUACUGGGUGUAAAGGGAGCGCAGGCGGCGCGUUAAGCCUGGUGUGAAAGCCCGCGGCCCAACCGCGGGACUGCAUUGGGAACUGGCGCGCUGGAGUGCCGGAGGGGUAGGCGGAAUUCCUAGUGUAGCGGUGAAAUGCGUAGAUAUCAGGAGGAACACCGGCGGCGAAGGCGGCCUGCUGGACCGUGACUGACGUUGAGGCUCGAGAGCGUGGGGAGCAAACAGGAUUAGAUACCCGAGUA
rnacentral:rRNA from 1 species